rnacentral:rRNA from 1 species
GAUUAAGUUAUUAAGGGCGCACGGUGGAUGCCUUGGCACUAGAAGCCGAUGAAGGACGUUACUAACGACGAUAUGCUUUGGGGAGCUGUAAGUAAGCUUUGAUCCAGAGAUUUCCGAAUGGGGAAACCCAGCAUGAGUUAUGUCAUGUUAUCGAUAUGUGAAUACAUAGCAUAUCAGAAGGCAUACCCGGAGAACUGAAACAUCUUAGUACCCGGAGGAAGAGAAAGAAAAUUCGAUUCCCUUAGUAGCGGCGAGCGAAACGGGAAGAGCCCAAACCAACAAGCUUGCUUGUUGGGGUUGUAGGACACUCUAUACGGAGUUACAAAGGACGACAUUAGACGAAUCAUCUGGAAAGAUGAAUCAAAGAAGGUAAUAAUCCUGUAGUCGAAAAUGUUGUCUCUCUUGAGUGGAUCCUGAGUACGACGGAGCACGUGAAAUUCCGUCGGAAUCUGGGAGGACCAUCUCCUAAGGCUAAAUACUCUCUAGUGACCGAUAGUGAACCAGUACCGUGAGGGAAAGGUGAAAAGCACCCCGGAAGGGGAGUGAAAUAGAACCUGAAACCGUGUGCUUACAAGUAGUCAGAGCCCGUUAAUGGGUGAUGGCGUGCCUUUUGUAGAAUGAACCGGCGAGUUACGAUUUGAUGCAAGGUUAAGCAGUAAAUGUGGAGCCGUAGCGAAAGCGAGUCUGAAUAGGGCGUUUAGUAUUUGGUCGUAGACCCGAAACCAGGUGAUCUACCCUUGGUCAGGUUGAAGUUCAGGUAACACUGAAUGGAGGACCGAACCGACUUACGUUGAAAAGUGAGCGGAUGAACUGAGGGUAGCGGAGAAAUUCCAAUCGAACCUGGAGAUAGCUGGUUCUCUCCGAAAUAGCUUUAGGGCUAGCCUCAAGUGAUGAUUAUUGGAGGUAGAGCACUGUUUGGACGAGGGGCCCCUCUCGGGUUACCGAAUUCAGACAAACUCCGAAUGCCAAUUAAUUUAACUUGGGAGUCAGAACAUGGGUGAUAAGGUCCGUGUUCGAAAGGGAAACAGCCCAGACCACCAGCUAAGGUCCCAAAAUAUAUGUUAAGUGGAAAAGGAUGUGGCGUUGCCCAGACAACUAGGAUGUUGGCUUAGAAGCAGCCAUCAUUUAAAGAGUGCGUAAUAGCUCACUAGUCGAGUGACACUGCGCCGAAAAUGUACCGGGGCUAAACAUAUUACCGAAGCUGUGGAUUGUCCUUUGGACAAUGGUAGGAGAGCGUUCUAAGGGCGUUGAAGCAUGAUCGUAAGGACAUGUGGAGCGCUUAGAAGUGAGAAUGCCGGUGUGAGUAGCGAAAGACGGGUGAGAAUCCCGUCCACCGAUUGACUAAGGUUUCCAGAGGAAGGCUCGUCCGCUCUGGGUUAGUCGGGUCCUAAGCUGAGGCCGACAGGCGUAGGCGAUGGAUAACAGGUUGAUAUUCCUGUACCACCUAUAAUCGUUUUAAUCGAUGGGGGGACGCAGUAGGAUAGGCGAAGCGUGCGAUUGGAUUGCACGUCUAAGCAGUAAGGCUGAGUAUUAGGCAAAUCCGGUACUCGUUAAGGCUGAGCUGUGAUGGGGAGAAGACAUUGUGUCUUCGAGUCGUUGAUUUCACACUGCCGAGAAAAGCCUCUAGAUAGAAAAUAGGUGCCCGUACCGCAAACCGACACAGGUAGUCAAGAUGAGAAUUCUAAGGUGAGCGAGCGAACUCUCGUUAAGGAACUCGGCAAAAUGACCCCGUAACUUCGGGAGAAGGGGUGCUCUUUAGGGUUAACGCCCAGAAGAGCCGCAGUGAAUAGGCCCAAGCGACUGUUUAUCAAAAACACAGGUCUCUGCUAAACCGUAAGGUGAUGUAUAGGGGCUGACGCCUGCCCGGUGCUGGAAGGUUAAGAGGAGUGGUUAGCUUCUGCGAAGCUACGAAUCGAAGCCCCAGUAAACGGCGGCCGUAACUAUAACGGUCCUAAGGUAGCGAAAUUCCUUGUCGGGUAAGUUCCGACCCGCACGAAAGGCGUAACGAUUUGGGCACUGUCUCAACGAGAGACUCGGUGAAAUCAUAGUACCUGUGAAGAUGCAGGUUACCCGCGACAGGACGGAAAGACCCCGUGGAGCUUUACUGUAGCCUGAUAUUGAAAUUCGGCACAGCUUGUACAGGAUAGGUAGGAGCCUUUGAAACGUGAGCGCUAGCUUACGUGGAGGCGCUGGUGGGAUACUACCCUAGCUGUGUUGGCUUUCUAACCCGCACCACUUAUCGUGGUGGGAGACAGUGUCAGGCGGGCAGUUUGACUGGGGCGGUCGCCUCCUAAAAGGUAACGGAGGCGCUCAAAGGUUCCCUCAGAAUGGUUGGAAAUCAUUCAUAGAGUGUAAAGGCAUAAGGGAGCUUGACUGCGAGACCUACAAGUCGAGCAGGGUCGAAAGACGGACUUAGUGAUCCGGUGGUUCCGCAUGGAAGGGCCAUCGCUCAACGGAUAAAAGCUACCCCGGGGAUAACAGGCUUAUCUCCCCCAAGAGUUCACAUCGACGGGGAGGUUUGGCACCUCGAUGUCGGCUCAUCGCAUCCUGGGGCUGUAGUCGGUCCCAAGGGUUGGGCUGUUCGCCCAUUAAAGCGGUACGCGAGCUGGGUUCAGAACGUCGUGAGACAGUUCGGUCCCUAUCCGUCGUGGGCGUAGGAAAUUUGAGAGGAGCUGUCCUUAGUACGAGAGGACCGGGAUGGACAUACCUCUGGUGUACCAGUUGUCGUGCCAACGGCAUAGCUGGGUAGCUAUGUGUGGACGGGAUAAGUGCUGAAAGCAUCUAAGCAUGAAGCCCCCCUCAAGAUGAGAUUUCCCAACUUCGGUUAUAAGAUCCCUCAAAGAUGAUGAGGUUAAUAGGUUCGAGGUGGAAGCAUGGUGACAUGUGGAGCUGACGAAUACUAA